rnacentral:rRNA from 1 species
UUGACCUCGGAUCAGGUAGGAAUCACCCGCUGAACUUAAGCAUAUCAAUAAGCGGAGGA